CUCGGAGCGCGGGCCCCGCCGGCAGCGCCCUGGCAGCAGCGGCCAAGCUGGCAGCGGCACCGCCAAUACCGAGGGCGGGAGGGCGCCCGCAACCGCGAGGCCUCCAAGGGCCGCGGGCGGAACGGCGAUGGCGCCGAGCCCCUUCCCCCGAGAGGGCAAGCGGAGCAGCAUCCGCGGGCGUCGCCGCUAGAGCGCCUCGGCCACGGCCACGGCCACGGCCACGGCCACGUCCAGCAGCGGCAGCCGCACGGAGCCCGACUCCAAGGUGCGUGUUGGCCGCUCGCGCUUGUGGGAAGGAGCCGCCGUCCGCCUACCCAGAGCCGCCACAGGCCCUCGCGACAAGGUGGAGCAGAGCUCAGUGCUGUAGACUGCGCUCCCUCAGUCCCUGGGCCGGGCCUUCAUGCCAGCCUGGGCUCGCACAGCGCCCUGCGGGCCCUCUGAGCCGCCGCUCACCCACCCCCUACAGCCAGGUGCUCAGUUGGUCUGUGAAAUCCCGAAGCAGAAGUCCAUACUCCUCCAGGCAUUCAAGGUCUCUCAGCAGGUACAGAUUUUCUAGAUCCCAGAGUCGUCAUUCUAGCAUUUCUCCUAGCACACUGACUCUGAAGAGUAGCCUGGCCGUCCAGUUGAACAAGAAUGAAAAAGCAAGAGCUGCAGAGACAGCUGCAGAAGCUGCAGAACCCUCUAGCACGUCUACACCAACCAAGGGGACACAGAAACUGGAGCCAGCACAUCGCAAACCAACCAUGUGAAGGACGUGAAGAAAUAAACUGAGCGUGCCCCUUCUCCCUCAAGUAGUGGAACUUUCAAUACAAAAUGACAAGGCGAAAACAAAGCCACCUCUUCAAGUUACAAAGGUAGACAAUAAUUUGAUUGUAGAUAAAGCCACCCAGAUAACAGCUGUCGUUGGGAAGGAGAGGAAAUCUGCUGCUACAAAGGGUGAACCUUUCAGUAUCUCUCAAAAGAGAAAACCAAACCACUGAAACCAAGCGUGGGAGCCAGGGAGAAGCAGCAACAUGUGACUUUAGUGACCUGUGUGCUACCACCCUUACCUUUGUCUCCCAUGCUACCUGAAUAUAAAGAGGGGGAUAGUUUAAGAGAAAAUAUUUCAGUAAAAGCGGUUUAAAAAGAAGUAGAAAAGAAACAGAUGUCUUCUUGCUGAUUUAGCCCUGCCCUCUCACCUGCCUCCCAAGCCGGAGGAGAGGAUCUUUCCAAGAGUCCAGAGGAAAAGAAAACAGCAGCACAGUUGCAUAGUAUAUGAAGGCCUAAAGUAUGUCGGCCUCGCUAUGGUGAAUUAAAAGAAAAAGAUAUUGACUGAGGAAAAGGCUGUGUGGACAAAUUUUAUAUCGUCAGAAUUAUUAGAAAAGGUCCUUAUGGAUAAGUUUACAAGGUUGGGGAGAAGACAUUGGAGACACGGUUGCCUUAAAAAAAAAAAAGUAAGGUCUGGAUAAUAAAAAGGAAGGCAUUCCAAUUUUAGCAAUUUGAGAAAUUAAAAUUCUCCCAUAGGUUACCCAUCAGAGUAUUAUCAAUAAGAACGAAAUAGUGACUGAUAAAGAAGAUGCUUUGAAUUUUAAAGACAGAGGCUUCCAGACUGUCCUCGCCUUAGGUGAAGGUGUUUGACCCCCGUCCUCGGAAGUAGCCUGACAGCCUCUUAGCUGUCUCUCAGCCGCCGCCACGUUCAGCCGCCUCUCAGCAGCCGCCUUUGCCAACGCAACCAAGCAAGUGGAGGAGGCCCAAUACCAAUACUUCAGAAGAAGAUGGUUGAAAAUUGUAGAAUUAAUCAUUCGUCAAAAUUAAAUGAAGAACAGGUGCUGUGCUAAGUGAAGAACUGCUGUGAUUCAUUGUCAGGAAAAGAUUCUUUUAACCAGUAUGAAGAACAAGUAAGCAGGGCCAGGGAUUUAGCUCACUGCUUCCACCACCUGUCUCACAAGCACAAGGUCCGGAGUUCGAUCUUGGGUACCAAGAAAACAAACAAAACAAAACAAAACAAAACAAAACAGGAAAUUACCAUCCACCUUAAUAUGAAGUAGAUGAGGCCAUUGUCUGGAGUUUGUGAAAAUGAAAAUAAAGAGAAACUCUCCAAACAGCUUAUUCCUCUGGGAGAAAAGAACAGG
ensembl:lncRNA